rnacentral:lncRNA from 1 species
GGGCCAGCUGAAUGACGCCUCCGGGUGCGGGAGUUUCUCGCGGCAUUGAAGACCUAUUGGUGACCUUCUGUUUUUGUCUGUUCUAUGGUCGGGUUGUUGUCUCUUUAACACAUUCCCCAUUUCCAUUCUCAAUUUUAAAGGUUCCAGAAUUGGAAAACAUUAUUUUUCACCAGUCGCUUCGUUUCAUGUGACCUUAAUUACAUUAACUUAUUCUUUUGUAUUUUAUUUUUCUGUUUCCCACAUGCUGAUGUUGGUGGGUGAUAAGGUGUAACAGUUUUUUUUUUUUU